rnacentral:lncRNA from 1 species
ACAAUAUUAAGAAAAUAUAAAUAUAUCUGUUAUAUAUAAUAUAAAACUUUAUAUGUAUUGAAAUAUAAAACUAGAGGUCAGCUGCAAUCAGGAGCAGGUUUAGUGGAGAUUUGUAUGAACAAAUGGAAACAAGAAUUACUGUUUACUGUAAAUAAUGUUUUAAAUCUGACUUUUUAAAGGAACUCUGGGAUGUAAAUUUAGGGAAUUUGCUUCCCGUCAAGAUUUCAUGUGGAAUAAGCUAAAACUAUCUUUUAGUUUAAAGUUCAUUUAAAAAAAUCUCAAUUGGAGGGGAGUGUUUUUUUGAGCUGAGGGAUAGACAUUUCAAAAAUAGAGGGAUGGGUACAUUAGAAAUUUGCCUGGGAAAACAUUUCUCAAAAGAACGUGAGUUUUUCAAAUUCCUGUAGAUAAAGAAGGGCUCCAUCUACCCCAAUAUCUACAAUUACUUAUAGAAUAAUGAGGAAAAAUCAGAAAAUCCAGUUGUUUAAAAUUUACUUGUGUGGGGGUGGGUGGAUAGAGAAAGGAUUUUAGAAAACAUUUGAAGGGGUCCUUGGAUUGUUAAGUGGCGUAGUGUUCUGUGUAUUGCGGGCAGUUCCCAAAUAAAAAUUAUGCUCUAAAAGUUCAGAUGUGUGUUGAAUUAUUGAGAGAGAGAGUGAUUAUUGAUAAAAUUAUUGAGAGAUAUAUAUUCCCCCUGGUAAACAAUACUCUAAGUGGGCGUUAACUUUCUUGUCACCCCAAGGCUUAUUUAAACCCUAGGGGCUCUAAAAAGUGAACGGUAUUAUAGAACUAACUCGUCAUGAUCUGUAUUCCAAGAAACAUAUGGGAACUUUUCUCCCUACUGCUCCCUGAUGGUGAGAUUCUUCCUGCCUGGCCCUGGGGGCUGAGCCUCAGCAAGCAGUUGAAGCCUCAGGUUGGUCCAUGUUUCAUGAGCACUCCACGUAAGCGAGUAUCCCAGCUUUUGGUACGGAAACUUGAGUGGCGCAUGAAGAUUAGCCCUGAGCUAACAUCCAUGCCCAUCUUCCUGUACUUUACAUGUGGGAUGCCUGCCACAGCAUGGCUUGCCAAGUGGUGCCGUGUCUGCACCCGGGAUUUGAACCAGCGAACCCCGGGCCGCCGAAGCAGAACGUGCGAACUUAACCGCUGUACCACCGGGCCGGCCCCUCACAAACUUGAAUACACAGUCAACCUUACUCAAAGACUGAUUGGCAUUGGGCCAUUGGAAUAUAUUUUUGCUUCUUACUGUAUUCUCAAGUAAUUUUUUACAUUAAACUAUAAA